rnacentral:rRNA from 1 species
GACGUAGGAUGCAAGCGUUGUCCGGAUUUAUUGGGCGUAAAGAGUUCGUAGGUGGUUUGUUAAGUCUGAUGUUAAAGACUGGGGCUCAACCUCGGGACUGCAUUGGAUACUGGCAGACUUGAGUGCGGUAGAGGCAAGUGGAAUUCCAGGUGUAGCGGUGAAAUGCGUAGAUAUCUGGAGGAACACCGGUGGCGAAGGCGGCAUCCUGGACCGAUACUGACGCUGAGGAGCGAAAGCCAGGGGAGCAAACGGG